UUAUCAAAGAGUUUGAUCCUGGCUCAGGACGAACGCUGGCGGCGCGCCUAACACAUGCAAGUCGAACGGAGCUUACGUUUUGAAGUUUUCGGA
rnacentral:rRNA from 1 species